UUCCUGGUGGUCCAGGGGUUAAGACUCUGCACUUCCAAUGCAGAGAGCGUAGGUUUGAUCCCUAGUCAGGAAA